rnacentral:rRNA from 1 species
CGAUGAACACUUCGGUGGGGAUUAGUGGCGAACGGGUGAGUAACACGUGGGCAAUCUGCCCUGCACUCUGGGACAAGCCCUGGAAACGGGGUCUAAUACCGGAUACUGAGCUACUUGGGCAUCCAAGUGGUUCGAAAGCUCCGGCGGUGCAGGAUGAGCCCGCGGCCUAUCAGCUUGUUGGUGAGGUAAUGGCUCACCAAGGCGACGACGGGUAGCCGGCCUGAGAGGGCGACCGGCCACACUGGGACUGAGACACGGCCCAGACUCCUACGGGAGGCAGCAGUGGGGAAUAUUGCACAAUGGGCGAAAGCCUGAUGCAGCGACGCCGCGUGAGGGAUGACGGCCUUCGGGUUGUAAACCUCUUUCAGCAGGGAAGAAGCGAAAGUGACGGUACCUGCAGAAGAAGCGCCGGCUAACUACGUGCCAGCAGCCGCGGUAAUACGUAGGGCGCAAGCGUUGUCCGGAAUUAUUGGGCGUAAAGAGCUCGUAGGCGGCUUGUCACGUCGGUUGUGAAAGCCCGGGGCUUAACCCCGGGUCUGCAGUCGAUACGGGCAGGCUAGAGUUCGGUAGGGGAGAUCGGAAUUCCUGGUGUAGCGGUGAAAUGCGCAGAUAUCAGGAGGAACACCGGUGGCGAAGGCGGAUCUCUGGGCCGAUACUGACGCUGAGGAGCGAAA